AACAUCUGGGGUUCUGGUAAAGAAACCACUGUGUUUGUGCCCUCUUUAGCAUUUGAUAAAAUUGGUGGUAGUCUGGACAUUUUUAUCCAAUUCUCUUCCUGUUGCUAAAAAAUCUCCCUGGUAUAUUGAGCUCUGGCCGUUUUCAUAAUGGUUUUCUUUUGUUCGUGAUUCUUCACGUGAAUUCACAUGAUUCUUGUAUGAAAAGCUGGUCAGUCUCUGUUGAAAACCUUUCUUAUUUAAUGAGCUCUUAUAAAGUUUGGGUGGAAAAAUGUGCAACUUUUAGAACAUUUAUUUGUACUAAGAAAAUUUCUACACUUUCUGGGGUGAUUGUAUUUGCAAGUUCCAUUUGUUCUUGCCAUAUUUACAUGUGCCCCAUUCGUAAUAUUGACAGGUUUUGGGUUCUUGAUUUCUUUUGGCCCAGCUCUGGCAUUGAGCCCAACUUAUGUUGGGCUCAAUGCCCAACAUUUCUCAAUGCUCAACAUUUCUACUUGGAUAUCAGGUUGGUGAUGUAUGAUAAAACUGGAAGGAUAAUUGAGAGAAGUAAAUUAGAGGAAAGGGGUUAUUCCCAGUACAGUAUUAUUGAUAGAAAGGGUGACACACAUGAAGAGCUAUAAGGGGAAUAUAAUAAACAGGAAGAUUUUUCCGUUAUGGUUUAUCUUGAAACAUGUUGUAGAGUAACAAGUUGUUAGCUAUAAAAAUAUUAAUAAAAUAAAACUAAUGCAAUGUCCAAUUGCAGUUUGGUCGAUGGACUGCCCUACUUGUGGGUGUUAUUUAUGGAAGGAGCCACUAUAAUUCACUAAGUGCGAGGGAAACUCUGCUACGUGAAGAAGAGGCUAAGCAUGCUGUUGUCAGAAAUGCACAGCUUGCUGAAGAAAAGGCAAAAUUUAAUAGAGAUGAAAUGAUCUACUUGGCGGAGCAGGCAG